rnacentral:rRNA from 1 species
GACGUAGGGCGCGAGCGUUGUCCGGAUUUAUUGGGCGUAAAGAGCUCGUAGGCGGCUCAUUGCGUCAACCGUGAAAACCAGCAGCUCAACUGUUGGCUUGCGGUUGAUACGGGUGGGCUGGAGUUCGGUAGGGGAGACUGGAAUUCCUGGUGUAGCGGUGAAAUGCGCAGAUAUCAGGAAGAACACCCGUGGCGAAGGCGGUUCUCUGGAACGCAACUGACGCUGAGACGCGAAAGCGUGGGGAGCGAACAGG